CGAUUCUGGUCUGGACUGCGGCCGUAUGGGUGCUGCCUCUCUCCUUUAUUUGCACCUCAUGUUCACGGGGAACCUGGUGCUAAAUCAUUCGUAGACGACCUGAUUCUGGCUCAGGGUUUUGGAUCUUGCUGGCCACUUGAAGAUUCAAAGAGAGAAACUUUGGGAUCAGGAGACCUCUGAGCAAAAGCUUUCUCCAGAGGGGACACUGCCCUGAGGCCUGGUCGACAGGCUGCACCCCGUGGGGGCUCAUGCGAGGGCGGUGCAGCCGCAGUCCCGGGUUUGUCUCCGUGGAAAAUGGGAAGAGACGUGCUUUUCCAGACGAUCCUCAUUCAGAAUUCCUGAAGCUCUGUACCUGCCCUGGAACAAUGUGUGGAAAGUCCUAUUGCAGUCCACACGAGGUCCC